CUCUAGCGAGACUGCCCGUAUAACGCGGAGGAAGGUGGGGAUGACGUCAAGUCAGCAUGGCCCUUACAUCCUGGGCUACACACACGCUACAAUGGGUGAUACAAUAGGUUGCAAUAGAGCGAUCUGGAGCCAAUCCAAAAAAUCAUCCUCAGUUCGGAUUGCAGGCUGCAACUGCCUGCAUGAAGUUGGAGUUGCUAGUAAACGCAGGUCAGCACACUGCGUUGAAUACGUUCUCGGGCCUUGUACACACCGCCCGUCAAGUCAUGGAAGUCGGUAACACCUGAAGUCGAUAGGCUAACCCGCAAGGGAGGCAGUCGCCGAAGGUGGGACCGGUGACUGGGACGAAGUCGUAACAAGGUAGCC
rnacentral:rRNA from 1 species